AGACACUAGUCAGAACAGGACAAACAAGGAUUUUCAGAGCCAGCUCAGAUACAUUCUUUCCAAGCACCAUAGUUGUGAAAAGCCCAAUUUAGAUCAUUCAGAGGCCAAGCUACUGCCAGCCAGUGCCCCUUGUGGCAAGCAAAAAGACAAGUGAACAUGUGAAUGUCUUGAGCACCUCAACCCCACACUCCACCCCUUGCCCAGGAUGAGGAUGAGGGGCCGGUCAAGAGCCUCACUCUAGACCUGGUCCCAUGUUCCAGCAAGGACCAUAUUAGAGCAGCACUGGGGACCUAAGUCAGACCUUCACGGGCUAUGUCCAGCAGAUGGCUCCUCUGCCCACAUCUGCCAAGGACCUCCCGCCGUCAGAUGCUGUGGAGACUGGCCCAGGCAGGCUCAGAUCAGUGGCACCCAGGGGCUGUGGUCCUGUCCUGCUGGUCCCUAUUGCCAGGGGAAUAACAAGGUAUGGGAGUGUCAUCCGGCUCCAUGCACACAGCAAGAGGAAAGUCACAGCUGUCCCAAACCAUAGCAUCUGAUCCUUGCUGCUCAAACCCUGUCUCAUCCUCUGUCUCUCUCCCUCUCUGCCUGUCUCUUGUGGAAAGGUUAUAACUGUGGUAGAAUACACAUCCAUACACAUUCCCUGCUGCCUUCUGCAGUGAUGGUGCAGGGGUAGUAAGUGCAUUCUCCCUGCUGGGCACCACCCCCAGGGCCUCUGCUUCCUCUGAGCGGAAACUCUAUGCCCAGCACCUGGGAAGCCCCACUGUGUCUGAGUGUGACGUGAGCACUUACUGUUUUCUUCAGCACAACCCCAUCUCUGCCAUGAGUGCACACAACAGAAGGCCAGUUUCACACCAAAGGAGCAAAGGCUGGCCCUGAACUCCUGGGCUCCAGUGAUCCUCCGGCCUCAGCCCUCCCAGCAGCUGGACCACAGUGUUGAGACCGUGCCCAGCUGGGAUGAUGUCUGUGUGAUCAGAUGUGUUCCUUGUCUGUCCUUCCAUCACCCUCCUUUCCUGCAAUCCAGACCUCAGAGCACGAGGGGCCCUGGUGUGGAAAUCCCUGCCCACACCCACGUCCUGAGAAGCCUAUGCUGAGUCCCUGCCCUUUCCAAUCCUGGGGCUGCAUCUUCAAGACCACGAGACGUCAUGGAGCCCGAGGCUCCUGUCCUUUCCAGCCUCUUGUCCUCACAGCUCCGUCCCCCGACACUCCUGGAGGUGUCACCUUUGAUGGCCACAUUCGUGGUCCUGCUUCUGUGUGCUGGGGAGUAGCCAUGAGCACUGGCAGGGACACCACCCCAGGUGGCAGUCGGCUACGGACCGCUGAAACCCAGGCGGGGGCAGCCUGAGUGAGGCUCCGGCUCCACGAGCUCCACAGGCUCCACACCGUGCUUCUCCCACUAGUGCGCACUUCUCGGCAGUGCACUUGUCUGGGCCCGAGGUUGGGGUCUCAUCUUUAUCUUCACACAUCUGUAACCUGGGUCUCCCUGUCAUGGAACACAGUCAGCUGGGGACGUGGACACAGUGGGUCUGCACAAGGUCGAGUGAGUAGUUUUGAACCCUCACUGAUUCUUGUGCUCUGCUGAGCAGUGCUGAUGACAUUCGGCUGAAGGCCUUUGGCAGCACUAGCAUGGCAUGGCUCAGGGAAGGAAGUAAUUGACUGUAGGCAACACUUUGCCCAGCCACAUCCAGACAGAACAGUGCUGCAUUUCCAGGUGUAGUCUUGUAAAACAGUAUCUGUCGCUCUCUAGAAUCCAGUAAGAUUAAAAACUAGUGCCAACACUCAUCUGAUGCGGCCCCAGGAGAGAUGCAAGAGUUCUUUCAUGUCCCAAGAGUUAGACAUUUGCCCAUUUUUUAAAGUCUUUUUCUUCAAGUCUAAAAAAUAGGAUGCCUAUUUCUUCACCUUCACCUAUCCAUUCAAAAAUCACUUAUCAGGGCCAGGGAUUUAGCUCAGUGGCACCACACCUGCCUCAAAAGUGCGAGGUCCUGAGUUUGAUCCCUAGAACUGGAAAAAAAAAAAAAUCACAUCAACUACAUAUGGACUAAGUGAUAGUUGGGAUUUGCUUAAAAUUAUACAGGGUAAGUAAGGGGUAGUGAGGAAAGGAACAGAUGGAACAAGACUGGGUGUGAGUGGAUGGUUGCUGAAGGGGUGGCCAAGCACAUGAGCAGCCUCGGUACCUGCUUGAGCAUGGCAACACUGCCAUCACUGCACCCACAACAAUAGACACUCCAUGGGACCCCCCACAUAUACAUUCCAAACGUGCAUGAUGAACAUGCCUUCAGUUGCCAUAUACGAGUACAGUUAAUGUUCACAAGUUCAUCUCCAUCUCCUCCAGCCCAUGCUGCCAGACCACAGCAAAGCAUUCUGUCAAACACAGAUGCUCCCAACCCGUGCCACCUGAUGUGAGAAAUCAGUGCACACAGACAACUGCUUGUUCACUGUGAUUGAACUGGGCCACACAGUAAGGCAUCUGAGAACCAGACUGGGCCUUUAUGUCCAAGUUCUCAGUGAGGGGAGAUUAGAUUGCUGAAAAAGAUCAGACAUGAAGCAAGGCUCAAGGCUGCAUUAUCUAGCUUUUGAUCCCCCUUUUUUGAGACAGGGUCUGUCAGGCUGCCCUUUAACUCACUAUACAGCCCAGACAGCCCCAAACUUGCAGCAAUCCUGCCUCAGCCUCUUGAAUGCUGGAAUUAUGGGCAUGUGCCACUACUCUCAGCUGGAUUCCCUUUGUAAAUAGCUUUUUUAAAUUGGAAAAACUGUUUUCCUUCUAUGCUGUGGCCCCGUGGCCCUCAGCAUGACAGAACUGCUGCUCACAUGGCUCUGACCAGCAGUAACUUAAAGGUCAGAGGCAGCUACCUCUAAGCCUCGCCAGCUUCUCUUCAGACUGCUGAGAAGCCCUGGUUUCAUCAACUCUCUCCAAUACUAACUGGUCUGUGCCAUUAAGCCAUCCAAUUAAAUAGUUACUUCCUUCUCAUUGUCAUGUGUUUGGGACCCAAAAGAGAACAAGGGGCCCUGCCACUGAGAAUCUCCACCUCAGGCUUCAACAACCAACGUAACGAGUGAGGCGAGUCAGAAUAACUCAUAGUAUAAGCAGAAGCAGCAGGAUUCUGUAGAUCUUCUCAGGAGAUGGUAUUUUAGUGAACGAUGGCCAGUGGGUGGCAGGAUCAUUUGGGGAAGUGGAAACACAAGGGCUGAUUCGUGUUUUAAAAAGAGGAAAGGCAAAAAAAAAAAAAAAAAAAAA